rnacentral:rRNA from 1 species
UUGGAGGGCAAGUCUGGUGCCAGCAGCCGCGGUAAUUCCAGCUCCAAUAGCGUAUAUUAAAGUUGUUGCAGUUAAAAAGCUCGUAGUUGAACUUCGGGGUCUACCCAUUGGUCAGGCUUAAUUAUCUGUACUGGUGAGAUGGAUCUCUACCUUCUGAGGAACUUUCAUGCCAUUUAUUUGGUGUGAUGGGAAAUCAGGACUGUUACUUUGAAAAAAUUAGAGUGUUUAAAGCAGACUAUCGUCUGAAUACAUCAGCAUGGAAUAAUGAAAUAGGACGGACUGAUUCUAUUUCGUUGGUUUCUAGGAUCACCGUAAUGAUUAAUAGGGAUAGUUGGGGGCAUUAGUAUUCAAUUGUCAGAGGUGAAAUUCUUGGAUUUAUUGAAGACUAACUACUGCGAAAGCAUUUGCCAAGGAUGUUUUCAUUAAUCAAGAACGAAAGUUAGGGGAUCGAAGACGAUCAGAUACCGUCGUAGUCUUAACCAUAAACUAUGCCGACUAGGGAUCGGAUGAUGUUAAUUUUUUAAUGACUCAUUCGGCGCCUUACGGGAAAC